AAAUGAGUGGAAAGCACAUCUAAAGGGUCAGCGCACAUCAGACUGCCCAAGGGUAUGGUACAUGAGCGGGCCAUCACUGCACGGAUGACAAAGGCAGGAUCUGGAACAUCCUAGAGUCAGAUUAAGCAACCCAACAACGCUCCAGUAGCAAUGGCAUUCAAUUACUGAUGGCCUACUUCAGAUGUGAUCCAGCAACCUAGAGGGACCGACCCCCUUGUGUCCUGGGCACAGUGAGGAGUCACCUCAGGUUGAGGUACCAAGCAUCACAAAAAGAACCCAGGACCCAGCGAGGAGAGGGGAGAAGCCAAUCCAAGUAGCAAGCACCAGGAAGGAGGUUAGAGCCACACUUCAGGGGAGGGGCUAUAUCAGUAGUAUGUACUGGAGACAUGAUGCACAAUAAUUAGGUUACAGCAAUGCAAAACAAGUCAAUGGUUUACUGGCAGGUCAGUUGGAGACCUAAUUUGUGUAUACAAUUGCCUUCAUAAUUUGGGUGAUGAUGGAUACAAAUGCAGAGCAGGCAUUAUUGAAAGGAAUCCAGACAGUGAACAGUUACAACUGGGAAGCCGCCUUGCCUGAUAGACAGGGCAUUGGUCUUGGACUCAGGCAAUUUGGAUUCUAGUCAUCACUCUGACAAUGACUCCCCUCCACUUCAGGCACAUCACUUAUCUACUCUGUGCCUCAAUUCCAUAAAAUAGGGAAAAUUAUACCCAUUUCUUAGAAAAGCUUUGAGAUCUACAAAUGAAAAGUGCUAUGAACUCAAGCCAAACCUCAAUGAAAAUAAACAGACCAUCUAAAAAGGUGAAAAGUGAACUAAAGUUCUGCUGCAUCAGGAAAAGUAUCCAACCACCCUCUUCUGACACCUAAG